CGGGUGUGGGGGAAGGGAAGUGAGGGAGGGGCCGUCCAGGUGUCUGGAAUCACCGGCGCUCUGCUUUAUAGGGGUGAUUUGAUUAUUUCCACUUAUUUGCUGUUACAUCAAAUGCCUGCAGGAGUUAUCCACUUGUGAAUGUGAAGAAAAAUAUCUUUACCAAGAGCUUGUGCAGCUUCAACUUUACCAGGCAGCUGGCUGACAACGAGGCUGGCUCUCCUGAGUCCACCACCUACAGACCCUGGCAACCGAAAGUGACAGGCUCAUGCUCUGACAGUGGUGCUGACAGCCUCCCUGCCACCCUCAGGCAGCCCAGGGCCUGGCUUGUGACCGCGCAUUCUCAGCCCAUCAGUCCUCAGGGAACGGAACGGCCCUUUCCUGCUCCAGUGAAUCGGAAGGUUUUAUCUGGAGGGCCUCCCAGUCACCUGGGAAACCAAAUCCUCUCAGCCUUUCAAA